rnacentral:rRNA from 1 species
UACGAAGGGGGCUAGCGUUGCUCGGAAUCACUGGGCGUAAAGCGCACGUAGGCGGCUUUUUAAGUCAGAGGUGAAAUCCUGGAGCUCAACUCCAGAACUGCCUUUGAUACUGAAGAUCUUGAGUUCGGGAGAGGUGAGUGGAACUGCGAGUGUAGAGGUGAAAUUCGUAGAUAUUCGCAAGAACACCAGUGGCGAAGGCGGCUCACUGGCCCGAUACUGACGCUGAGGCACGAAAGCGUGGGGAGCAAACAGG